GCCGGGCGCGGUGGCGCGUGCCUGUAGUCCCAGCUACUCGGGAGGCUGAGGCUUGAGGAUCCCUUGAGUUCAGGAGUUCUGGGCUGUAGUGCGCUAUGCCGAUCGGGUGUCCGCACUAAGUUCGGCAUCAAUAUGGUGACCUCCCGGGAGCGGGGGACCACCAGGUUGCCUAAGGAGGGGUGAACCGGCCCAGGUCGGAAACGGAGCAGGUCAAAACUCCCGUGCUGAUCAGUAGUGGGAUCGCGCCUGUGAAUAGCCACUGCACUCCAGCCUGGGCAACAUAGUGAGACCCUGCCUCUU
ensembl:misc_RNA Metazoa_SRP Metazoan signal recognition particle RNA